rnacentral:rRNA from 1 species
UACGGAGGGAGCUAGCGUUGUUCGGAAUUACUGGGCGUAAAGCGCGCGUAGGCGGUUACUCAAGUCAGAGGUGAAAGCCCGGGGCUCAACCCCGGAACUGCCUUUGAAACUAGGUGACUAGAAUCUUGGAGAGGUCAGUGGAAUUCCGAGUGUAGAGGUGAAAUUCGUAGAUAUUCGGAAGAACACCAGUGGCGAAGGCGGCUCACUGGACCGGUAUUGACGCUGAGGUGCGAAAGCGUGGGGAGCAAACAGG